GAGCUGAGUCUUCUUUGUAUGUUAAUCAUAAAAUGCCACAGUAAGGUACAUAAACCACAUUAUAUUUACAAUAAUGCUGCACCUGCUCAGAGUAUGUACUUUUAACAACAGACAUCUGAACAAAGAAGCUUUAAAUAAACAGAGAUGUAGUUUUUGAUUUCUUGCUGUGGCAAGAAAACUGUCAUGAGAAGAAAAAUGCAGUACUUACACAAGGCAUACUAUAACCUACACAAGGCAUAUUAUAUGGCUUAUCAUAUAACAGGUGCAGCUUCAUUGUUAAAAAUAAGUGUGAGGGGUGGUUAAGUGACCCUAAGCAAGAUGGCAGCUUAAGAGUUUUGCCCCGCUUUGGAACUCUGAAAUUUUAUUAUCUAGCCCUGUUUUUUCGCAUACUUUGUGUUUAUUCCAUAAUGUGAAGAAAAAUGGAGAGUUCUGGGGAUAAGGAUUUUCCUAUCUUUUCAUCAACAAGAUUACAGAAAAAUAAGGAGAAAAUGAAAAAACCCUCUGCAUGUGAUGGAGAAGGGGAAGAGGUCAGUGCUAGCCUACAAUCGGAUACUUCACUUAUUUUGAGUGAAAUUAGGGCUGUUGGUACCAGGCUAGAAGGUAUUGAGGGUCAGUUGGGAAAUAUUGCUUCUUCUGUUGCAGUUCAUGAGAACGCAUUCGCUGCCCUCACCGCACGAGUCACUGACACAGAGACACGGAACAACUGCAGGCUAUAGUGGGCGACCUGGAAAACGGGCCUCCGUAUAAACAUGAGGAUUGUUGGGUUUACUGAGAAAGCGGAAGGCAGUGAAUCUCUGACUGCAUUUUUACAGGCUAUGUUACCGGUUUGGGUUUAGCUUUCCACAGACUCCCCUGUCAUCAAGAUCGAGAGAGCGCAUAGAACCCCACUUCCAUCUCAGUCCACACCAAACACACUGCCAAAGGAGUGUUAUUGUGCGUUUUCUAUGCAUCCGAGAAAGAGAGGCAGUUUUAAGAGCUGCUACACUCUUUAAAAAAAAAAAAACGCUGGGUUGUUUUUUCAAACCAAUGCUGUGCUGAGGCUGCUUGGUAGGACUUUGGGUUGUUUUAACCCAAGUUUGGGUUGAAAAUUGUCUUGAGCUAUAACCCAGUGGCGCUGGGUUGGUAACACGGACGUGAAAGAGAGCAUGCAUGUUAACGUUCUUUGCGUCUUCAGAUGAAAGCGAGUGAAAUUCUGUCUGAAACAUAAGUUAUUCAAUAUGUAUUUAACGAUGUUCAUAGAAAUAAAAAAAACCUGCUUUAGUGUUAUAUGCGCAAUUUAGGCUUUCAGUCAGUUAAACUGAGACUACCACAUGGCCAAGUGACAGCCGUGCUCCAACUCACGACAGAUCCCAGAUCAGUGAACAGAAGAGCACGCGUGGCAUCUUCAUUGGAGCUUGAAAGUAAUAGGUUGAUGGCAGCAAGUACUGUUCCCUGGUGUGGCAGUGUCUUCAGACUGUGGUGUAUGGACUUCCUGGGGAGGAGACACCAGCAGUAAGAGUUCUGCGAGCACUCAUUUUUGCAUUCAUUGCAUUCAUUUUUUUUAUUAUUAAUUAAACAGUAUAGUAUUAAUACACUUAUUAUUAUUACUGUGACCCUACUGCUUAAUGGAAUUCUGUGUUCUUUAACUUGAUAUUUUCAUAUUUCAAAUACAUAUUUAAUUGGAAGUAAAUUUUCCUGACUGCAGUCAGUUUGAUGCAGUUUGAGUUUUGCUGCAAUUACAUUGGAAUUGAUGCUUCUUACUGAUGAUUCUUAUAUCUUCGGAUAUUUAGGUUUAUGUAAAUGUUAUGAAAUGUUUUCAGAUUUUAAAUUUGUAUUCUUAAAGUAAAUUUUUCUGACUGAAGUCAGUGAUGCAUUUACUGUGAUAUUUGAUACUUUUUCAUAGAAUGCAAGCAUUUUACAUGCUGUUAUGACAAAAUCAGCUCCAUUAGACAUAUUAUAUAUUACAUUUAAGGUUUGCUAUUUUAGCCUAGACAUCCUUUACAAAAAUAAGAAAAUGUGUAUUAAUAAAACGAAGGAUGACAUUUUAUUUAGAUCACCUAAAUUGCUUCCACAUACAUCCGUGUUUCCCAUGGGCGGGGUUGGAUUACCAAAGUAAGUAUUCAUUAUUCAUUAUUUUAAUCACUUAAAUUUCUGACUCAUUUUGGGUUAAAUUCAACCCAGCAGUGUAGUCAUUUUUAAAUAAUAGUUGGGUUAAAAUCACAACCCAGCAUGCUAAAAUAACCCAGCGUUGGGUUCGUCCCUUUUUGACCUAGCGCUGGGUUGCCAAAAUAACCUAAAUUGGGUUGUUUUUUACCCAGCAGUUUUUAGAGUGUAGGAAAACACCAGUAAAACAUAGUGCUGCCACAUUACACUUUUUCCCGGACCUAUCAGCGGAGGUUGCGCUUAAGCGUCGAGCAUUUGGAGGGGUGUGCAAAAGAAUGGUGGAUCAAGGGGUAUACCGAGGCUUCGACUUCACUACACUUCGCUGUUUACACAAUGGAAAGAUCAUUUUAUUUGAUAAUGUGAUAGCAGCUACUAACUUUCUGGACGCAGCCUAGUGAUUUUUUCCAUCCUGUUUUUCUGUGGACCAUAAGAUUGUUCCCAUUUUUUCCCACUUCAAGGGCGUAUCAUGUUUCUUCCUACUGAACACAAAUGUAUGGCUUUUUCAAGGUGAUGCAGAGCCACUUGGCAGAACUCUGUUUGUAAGGACAAACUUCAGUUCUAUAUUUUAUGACUGCUAUGUGAGACCUGCACUAAAGUUGUUGUUUUUUCUUAUCCAAUUGCCAUUCAAUUUUAUGUCCACAGUUUUUUUUUCCUUCUCUUUCCUUUUUUAGGUUUUACAUAAUUACGCCAUUACAUUUAUCCUCAUUAAUUUUGCUAGAGUGGAUUUUAUUUAUUUCUAGAAGGAGUUUUGGGGGGUUUCUCUGUCUGUCAUGUUCCUUGGGUAAUGUAGUUAAAAGAGAGAAUUUAUUAACACUCUUGAAGAGAGAAAAGGUAACUAUUGCACUCUUACAGGAGACGCAUUUGUCAGAUAUAGAACAUUUAAAGCUUAAAUGAGACUGGAUUAGUCAGGUAUAUUUUAGUUCAUUCCCAUCAAAUAAACGCCAAAAUAAACUCCAGUUUUAAAGACUUCUAUAAGAAUCUGUACACCUCCUCUUGUGCACCCCAAGACCCUAUACAUUUUUGGAUAAGAUAUCCUUACCCUCAAUCUCAGACGAGGACCAGGCCUUUCUCAAUACCCCUCUAACAAAAGACAAUAUCUUUGCAGGUAUUCAAUCUAUGCCUAGUGGGAGGGCACCAGGGCUUGAUGGCUUCCCUCUGGAAUUUUACAAAAAAUUGGAAUGUGCUGUCUCCUAUCUUCAUGUUAUGUCCUAUCUUCCAGUAGUUGACAAUCUUUUAGAAGACAGUUUUACUCCAGAUUCUUGGAGGACUGCCUUGAUCCUCAAAAAAGGAAAGAACCUAUUAGACUGUGCCUCAUAUCGCGCAAUAAGUUUACUUAACUAGUUUACUAACCCUAGACUUCAAAAUUGUGGCCAAAGCCGUACCUCGUCGCCUGGAGAGAAUCCUACCUAAGGUCAUUAAACCAGACCAAACUGGAUUCAUUAAAUCCUGUUAUGGUUCAGACAAUAUAUGUCACCUGUUGAACAUAAUACACCAUUUGACUGCAAAUGGUGACCCAGCUGCUAUAAUAUCUCUAGAUGUUAUAAUCUCAUUUGUUAUUUUAUCACAAAUAAAAUGAAUGUGCUUCCCUGUUUACUUUA